rnacentral:rRNA from 1 species
GGCCGCGGGAAUUCGAUUGGAUCGCCCUUAGAGUUUGAUCAUGGCUCAGGAUGAACGCUAGCGAUAGGCCUAACACAUGCAAGUCGAGGGGCAGCACAUGAAGUAGCAAUACGGAUGGUGGCGACCGGCGCACGGGUGAGUAACGCGUAUGCAACCUGCCUACAACAGGGGAAUAACCCGUUGAAAGACGGACUAAUACCCCAUAACACAGGGAUCCCGCAUGGGAAUAUUUGUUAAAGAUUUAUCGGUUGUAGAUGGGCAUGCGUUCCAUUAGCUUGUUGGUGAGGUAACGGCUCACCAAGGCAACGAUGGAUAGGGGAACUGAGAGGUUUAUCCCCCACACUGGUACUGAGACACGGACCAGACUCCUACGGGAGGCAGCAGUGAGGAAUAUUGGUCAAUGGACGCAAGUCUGAACCAGCCACGUCGCGUGAAGGAAGACGGCCCUACGGGUUGUAAACUUCUUUUGUAAGGGAAUAAAGUGUAGUACGUGUACUAUUUUGCAUGUACCUUACGAAUAAGGAUCGGCUAACUCCGUGCCAGCAGCCGCGGUAAUACGGAGGAUCCGAGCGUUAUCCGGAUUUAUUGGGUUUAAAGGGUGCGCAGGCGGGAGAUUAAGUCGGCGGUAAAAUUUUGCAGCUCAACUGUAAAAGUGCCUUCGAAACUGGUUUCCUUGAGUGUGAAUGAAGUAGGCGGAAUUUGUGGUGUAGCGGUGAAAUGCAUAGAUAUCACGAGGAACUCCGAUUGCGCAGGCAGCUUACUAAACCA